AACAGGAUUAGAUACCCUGGUAGUCCACGCCGUAAACGAUGAGUGCUAGGUGUUAGGGGUUUCGAUACCCUUGGUGCCGAAGUUAACACAGUAAGCACUCCGCCUGGGGAGUACGGUCGCAAGACUGAAACUCAAAGGAAUUGACGGGGACCCGCACAAGCAGUGGAGUAUGUGGUUUAAUUCGAAGCAACGCGAAGAACCUUACCAGGUCUUGACAUCCAACUAACGAAGCAGAGAUGCAUUAGGUGCCCUUCGGGGAAAGUUGAGACAGGUGGUGCAUGGUUGUCGUCAGCUCGUGUCGUGAGAUGUUGGGUUAAGUCCCGCAACGAGCGCAACCCUUGACUUUAGUUGCCAGCAGGUAAGGCUGGGCACUCUAGAGUGACUGCCGGUGACAAACCGGAGGAAGGUGGGGAUGACGUCAAAUCAUCAUGCCCCUUAUGACCUGGGCUACACACGUACUACAAUGGCCGGUACAACGGGAAGCGAAGCCGCGAGGUGGAGCCAAUCCCAGCAAAGCCGGUCUCAGUUCGGAUUGCAGGCUGCAACUCGCCUGCAUGAAGUCGGAAUUGCUAGUAAUCGCGGAUCAGCAUGCCGCAGUGAAUACGUUCCCGGGUCUUGUACACACCGCCCGUCACACCACGAGAGUUUACAACACCCGAAGUCGGUGGGGUAACCCGCAAGGGAGCCAGCCGCCGAAGGUGGGGUAGAUGAUUGGGGUGAAGUCGUAACAACGUAACC
rnacentral:rRNA from 1 species